AUAAGCUACAGAUGUCUGUUCAUCUCGAACGUUGCUUUUAAUGGAUUUCAUUUCAAAUGUAAGGACUUUUAACCCUUCUUUUUUUUAAAACAAAACAAAAACAAAACAAAACAAAAAUGUACCUCGUGGGAUUUCGUGUUGAUCCAUGAAGAUAAAUUGCAUCGCGGUUUGUUUGUUCAGUCUAAUGUAGGCAGGUUGAAUUGUGGGUCUGUGGGGUCCUUGGGUACUCUCCGAGAUUGGUGGGUUUUCUUGCGUAUGAAUGGAUUUAUGAUUUAGAGACCUGCCAGUUUGAGGGUUAUCAAAAGCUGAGUGUGUAUAGGCAUUAAAAAAAACGGUGAGUGUAUCAUGGAUGUCGUGUGUGUGUGUGUGUGUGUAUGUGUGUGUAACCUUGACCCACCUAUCAUUUGUCUCACUUGUUCAAUGACGUCAUAAUAUCCAUGACUGCUGCCCUUUCCCUGUGGGCAGGCAAACCUGAGAUGCUUUCCUUGAUGGAUGGAUUCAACUAGUAGUUCUUCAUUGUCGGUCAUCAUUGUCGCUGAGCAUUGCACAAUGUUUUUGGUGUUCAGAAGAGCAUUUCGGAGAACAAGGCGCUAGUGAAAAGUUCGCAGAUGACACGAAAUUUAGGAAUGUCCUGUGAAAGGCAGCAAAAGAACUUCAAAGGGCGAUCCACCAAGUGACGGACGAGAUUCAGCAUUAGCUAAUGCCGUUUGGAUGGGAAAGAAUGUUUUUCGGCUCAUGUUGGUGCUGGUGUCUCAAUUAGCUGUACUCGACGCAGUUCAAAAAUGUCUGAUUAUAUUUUUAGGCAACUCAUCCUAACUGCCUGUAACAUGUAGUCAUUGUCAGAGCAGUGAAAUGUAAUGAUGGAUGAAAGUUGAAGUCUCUAAAGAGGUGAGAAACAGAGUGAAGCUUAACAAAUAAAACUCUAGACCAUAUGCUCAAGAAAGCAAGCAAGGAACAACAGCUCUAAGUUGAAAAAGGGGCUGGGAGAAUUCUAGAUGCUCAACCUUAGCCUAUGAUGAUGAUGUUCUCCUCCUCGUUCUAUGUGUCUUUACAUCAGAUGAAGUCCCGAGUCGUUCAACUAGGAUUUAUUAAAUAAAUCAUGAUGUGUUGAAUUAG